CACAGCUCAGAGCUUCAGUUUCCUCAAAGAGGAGGUUGGAAAUCAUCAGUAUAACCUCUGAUACACAGAGAAUAUCUUUCACAGCAACAGUAAAAUUAUUACCAAACAAAAUAACCAAACACAGAAGACAACAUGAACCUCUUAUUACUAAGCAUCGCACUCAACACUGUGCUGGUUUCAGGUUCCUCUCUCAGAGUCAAGCAGACUCCAGCUGACAUUUACAAGAAACCAAAAGAAGAAGCUAGAAUCAACUGUUCACACAGCAUUGACGACUACUACACAAUCCUCUGGUACAAACAAUUAAAAGACAGACAACUACAGCUCCUGGGAUACAUGAAUUAUGAGAAAGAUAAUCCUGAAGCUGGAGCUGGAGUGAAAUUAGAAGGGGGAGCAAGUAAAGGCCAGACCUGCACUUUAAUAAUUGAAGAACUCACCUGGAACAACAGUGCAGUGUACUUCUGUGCUGCUAGUUACCACAGUGCUACAUAUCACUGCUCCUCAGUACAAAAACCUCACCAUCACAUGACUUCAUCUCAGUAUUACAGCUCACAGCUUCUUGCACCUGUAUUCCUUCCUUUCACAAGGUGGCGGUAUAUCUUCAAUCACAGCUUUAUACUGAGAUAGUGAUGUGUAGUGAGGGUGUGAAUGGUUGGACAAGUUGAGGAUGAACUAUGACACCACCCACCUACACAGCUCAGAGCUUCAGUUUCCUCAAAGAGGAGGUUGGAAAUCAUCAGUAUAACCUCUGAUACACAGAGAAUAUCUUUCACAGCAACAGUAAAAUUAUUACCAAACAAAAUAACCAAACACAGAAGACAACAUGAACCUCUUAUUACUAAGCAUCGCACUCAACACUGUGCUGGUUUCAGGUUCCUCUCUCAGUGACAAAGUCGAGCAGACUCCAGCUGACAUUUACAAGAAACCAAAAGAAGAAGCAAUAAUCAGCUGUUCACACAGCAUUGACAACUAUUAUAGAAUCCUCUGGUACAAGCAAUUAAAGGACAAUCAGAUGCAGCUCCUGGGAUAUAUGGAUAAUAGCAGAGCUAAUCUUGAAGCUGGAGUAAAUGUGAAAAUAGAAGGGGAUGCAAACAAAGACAAGAACUGCACUUUAAUAAUUGAAAAUCUCACCUGGAACAACAGUGCAGUGUACUUCUGUGCUGCU